CCCUUAGAUGUUCUGGGCAGCACGCGCGCUACAAUGGUCUUCGCAAACGGAUGCAUUCUCGAAGAAGAAUGCCAAUCUUGGAAUCUAUGCCUUGGUCGGGACAGUUGCUUGCAAUUUUUCGACUCGAACCAGGAAUUCCUUGUAAUCGUGAUUCAUCACAUCACGAUGAAUACGUCCCUGCCCUUUGUACACACCGCCCGUCGCUCCUACCGAUCGAAGAGUUAGGUGAAUUGUUUUGAUCGAUAAGAUUUGACUAUGGUCAACUCUCGUUGUGAAAUUCUGUGAAUCUGACUGUUUAGAGGAAGGAAAAGUCGUAACA
rnacentral:rRNA from 1 species